GCACUUGCAAUAUGAGAAAACUUUGGCUGUUGUCAAGAAAGCCUGACAGCCAAUUAUGAACGUUUUCUCUCGACUGAAUUUCUUUAUUCUCCACUGCAUUUCCGGACAGCCAAAGGAUGGAUUUUUCCAGAUGGUGAUUUUCUUCAAUAUCUCGUCUGCUGGUGUAUAAAGAGUGCGUUUAACAGGCUGCAGCAUGGGCUCGCAGAUUUGUAAGCAACAAAGUGAGGAGGAAUACAAUGCGAACGGCUGCUGCCGCAUGUACCACGACUGGAGGUUUUGCUCGGACCGCUGCUGUGACGUCUGCUGCCAGAUGUGUGUCAACGUGUCUUCUGUCUUGUGCUCGGGAGACUGCAGCUACAACUUCUUCACUCGUUGCUUUGGACUGGCUCAAAACUGCUUUUCAAUUCUUACCGGUCAACAGACUGAAAGGUCAACAUUACCAUCUUGAUCGACAAAUGCACCGACGAGACGCCUGCUUGCUUCCUUUUGCUGCGACCGUCGGAGCCCACGGACAGUCCGCCGUCCGACGUGAACGCAGCGAUCGGGAGCGUCCGGAGACAAGCGUGGCCUUGAGGGUGCGUCCUCGCGUGGAUCUGUAAGAACAACACCGGAAGAUCAAUCGUUUAGACGUGACUACAUAAAGUUUAGAAUUUUCUCAUGAAUACAGAGCAAACAACGGAGGUCCCCGCAACCCCCUUGAAGGUUCCUGUUAAUGUCAUAUUUUGCUUCUGCAUACACGAUAUUCCGACUGACUGCAUGAGGCUUUACAAGCAGGAUUUGUGUGUUGGGCUAGUUCGACAACAGCAGGAUUUGCAAUCAGCACCAUCUUAUCGCAGCUAUUCUGGCUAAAUAAAAGCUCCCAAACAAAA